rnacentral:rRNA from 1 species
UACGUAGGGGGCAAGCGUUGUCCGGAUUUAUUGGGCGUAAAGAGCGUGUAGGCGGCUUGGUAGGUCCGCUGUGAAAACCCGAGGCUCAACCUCGGGCCUGCAGUCGAUACGGGCAAACUAGAGUACUGCAGGGGAGACUGGAAUUCCUGGUGUAGCGGUGAAAUGCGCAGAUAUCAGGAGGAACACCGGUGGCGAAGGCGGGUCUCUGGGCAGUAACUGACGCUGAGGAGCGAAAGCGUGGGGAGCGAACAGG